GGCCGGAGACUAGGUCUCGGGAGCCCUAAAAUCCUCCCCCGCUCGUGGACUGGCUGCGAAAGGGGUGAGAGUCAGGGCGCCCGGCUAAAAUGAUUUUCAGGAUUCAUCAGUACAGGUACCCAGGCUUAAGUUUUGAACUCAGGAGGCAAGGGCACAUUGCUGUUAAAUAUGGUUCUGGUAAUAUGUGUUAGGGCAUAUUUAUUUUCUGCAGACAAGGUUAGGGCCUUGAACGUCUCAUUUACGGGCUGACGGGUCUAUUAACGAUGUUAGGGCACGUUAAUUGAGAUGAAAGUGUUAGGGCACGGGUAUAUUUGUUAGGGUACAUUAAGUUAAAAUGGUUCUGACCUGCAGGGCACGCUCACGUAUAUUGAGAUCAAUUAAUAAAAAUGGGUUUGUUUCACCACGCAUGUUUUUGCUGCUUUGAUAAUGGGUAAGCAUUGUGGUAAAUAUUUGUCAUCGUAGUUAAUGUUUCUGUUGUCUGGGAAUGUGUACAAAUGUAUCUUUGGGAGUUAUUAGAUUUUCCAGUUAAUGGCGUUUCCUUCGGAGACCGAUGCCCGGCCACCGGGCAGGUUGGAGGAAUAUGGCCGAGGUGACGUACGGAAGUAGCAGAGGUUCUUUUUGCUCAGGUUGGAUGGAUCGUCCCUCUGACCGCCCCCACCCUCUCACGGUGUUCCGCCAGGCCGAUCGCUGGAACUCCUUGAAGGUUUGCAUGGUCCCAUCCUGACGACAUUGCAUCAGUGGAGAACAUUUCCCAUUUGCAAUCGACGUAGCCAACAACGCUGGUGACCGUUAUAGCCCCCAACUCGUUUCGCUCCAUGGCCCUUUUUAUUGUGAACGUGGUGAUGCAGUAGGCCAUCUGGAGGCCGUUUUGCUCCACAUUGGACGUGUUUAGAGAGUCUACGCGGGACAAGAAAAGGUACACAAGGGGGGGAGAAGAACACACACUUAACCUCUGUUGGCCCAGCCAGGGUUUACAGCGGCUAAGACCAUAGGUGACUGCAAACCCGGGGUUGAGGAAGAGACUAUGCUAACCGCUACGUUUAAAUUUAUGAAGCUACCACUAGACAUUCAACUGGACAUUGGGUUUGGGAAGAUACCCAUGGGAAUCAAGACAACGGCUGUAUAGAUGUAGUGUUCACGCAAGAAUAGAGAUGGUUCCGGCUGCCUCUUUGGCCUUGCUGUGAGCGAUCCAACGGGAACACACAGGAACGCUGAACCGCCUGAGGGAGGGGUGCUGACGGUUUGAGGAGACGGACCGAUGGAGAGAGCAACCUCCAACCGAGAGGAUGGGAGCUAAGGAAAGCUCCAGUUCUGGACAAAGUUUAAUGGGCACACAAAAGAUCUACUGCAUGACAUCAUGCCACGCUGAUUGGGUUCAUACCAGGUACAUCU